rnacentral:tRNA from 1 species
GCCAGUUUAGCUCAGUGGCAGAGCAACGGUUUUGUAAACCGUCGGUCCUCGGUUCGAAUCCGAGAACUGGCUCCA